rnacentral:lncRNA from 1 species
GAAAAGUGUGUGCUUAGUGUUCGGCCAUCUUUGGUGUACUUCAUGUGACGUCAUAUCGAUAGGUAUGCAAGAUAGUUCUAAAGCUAGGUGCUUUUCACUUUCGUAGCGCCCUUGUAGAAGCCCGGUUGUGUGAGGAGCGUUUGUAGAAGGUCACUUGACCCGUAUUUCUUUGAUAUUUGAAACGGUUUUAAAACACAAAAUCGUAAGUAUCUUUGAAUUUAUAUUUACUUCGAAGUUUAUUAAUUUUUCUACCUUUUUUUUUAACUAACAAUCUUUUUAUUCAAAUGCUAAUAAUUUCGUUCUGCUUCGAUGUGAAGCAAUGAACGAAAUGAGCAGAUAUUUAACAUUUGGAUUAUAUAUAAUAUAGGAUGAUGAUAUUUGAUAUCAUCUGGAGAUUUAUAAUUGAACCAAUUCAGCAUAUUUACAAUCAUGAUGUAAUAAUCUUACUAAUGAGAACCUACUGUGACUGCACCCUGGGAUGAUAGUCUUUGACAAAAGUCAUAAUUAGAUUCGGACCCUACAUUGUUCGAAAAAAAAUAUGUAGAUUACUUGCAUUUGAUUAAGUAUUGCCUUUAUCAUUUAUUAUAUCAAGGAAUUGUAUAUUUAAAUAUCAAUUCCUUGAUUAAAGGAAAAUUUGAAAUGGAGUAUUUCAGAUUUCAACUAAAUAAUAACGACUUGAAUUGUAUUUUAAUGUUAGAUUUAUUAUAAGAAUAACCCGUUCAUCGUUAGUGCUGAACAUUCAAAUAAAUAUAAAACCAGGAGAUGUGGUAUGAUUGCCAAUGAGACAACUAUCCACCAGAUUUCUGAUGACGUUCUUCAACAAUGGAAAUAACCCAUACAAUAUAGUCGGCUAUAAUAGGAACGGACAUGAGAAUGCGAAACGAGAAAACGGACGGCCCAAUUUUUAACAAAACAAUUUAGGAAAAACAAAUAAUGCAGAUUCAUUAUUAUUCGUGUUUUAACAAUUUUUGUGUAUAUACGUAUACAACGAAUUUUAAUGAAAACCAACAGGCUUUGAUAUAGACUUAAACUUUUAGAAGUUGAUUAUUAGCUACAGUUUGUUUUUUACAAUGUAAUCUGGAAUUAACGUGCUUUAUAAGUUACAUUUUGUUUGUACAAAUGUAAUCUGGAAUUAUCACUAAAAUCGCUACGGUUGCUGUUUUAUCUGUAACACACACAUCUACUUCAACUUCAAUCAGAAUGAUUAGGUGAAAAUUUGGCAGUGUAUCAGUUACCAUAGUAACCACGUAGUAUGUGUGAAGUUUACCAUUAAUAAUAGAAUACCGUGCUAUAGCAGAUCAAAAAUUCCUAUGGCAUAUAAAUAGAUGCCUUCUUUUAUGUACCGUCUGAAAUCGUUGUCUCUUAUCAUGAAAAACAAGGACAUGAGUGUGAUCAAAAUGAAGGGCAAGGUCCAUAAAAAAUGUUCCCACUUUCAAAAACUGAUACUACUUUUGGUUUCAAAUUUCCAUACAGUAGUAUUUUAACUUUUGUAGAUAUGUUUGACUAAGAAAGUUUACUGAAACAUUUAAAUAUGUUACUUUGCCGGUAUUUCCUUUUAAUUUCAUUAACAUAAUAAAUUUGAAGUUAGAAGGGAUAAAUUGUGAAUCAAUUUGUAUAUAUAUCAAAUAGUGUAUAGACCCUUAUUUCUUCGUAUAAAUUUGUUGAGAUAAUGAAGUAUUUUCGAUAAAAAGGAAUUUAAGAUAACUUAAAUCUCACCUUAAAUAGUUGAAUUGCGAUUGGGCCCCUAUAACUUAAAUAAAACAAAAAGACAGAGGCAUGACCUAGCACCAAAAAAAUCAUAAAUAAAUGUAAAUAGGACAAAACACACAUAAAUUACCUUAAAAUAUCAAUUAACUCUUUUCACUAAUUAUUAAGAUUUACACAAAUUUGAGAAGUAUUUAUUUGAAUUGUCAAUAUAAAAAUUAAUACUUUUUUUUAUAAAAUUCAAAUUUAAACAUUUUUUGGUAGAAAAAGCACAUAUUUAUUUUAUUUUAUAAAUUACAUAUUUGAUUAGGUACAUGACCUAAUUAAUCGAUCAUUUAUGAUUGAAAAAUAUCAGAUGACUUAAUAGCACCUAGCAUGAUAGGGAGCCCCGGUGUGUGACAUGUAAAACAUGUAAUCAAUAUUUUACCGCUUUUGGCUUGAUAUUGAUCCGAUAACAUAAACCACAUGUGUCUACUGCGAUAUCCGCAAGAGCCUCUUCACACAUGUGGUAACAUUAUACUACCCCUAAUGGAACCUCAUUACACAUGUGGUUCGUGUUUAGCUAUAUAUAAUCUUAGUUGUGUAUGCUUCGAUCACUCAUUGAACUCUGACAGUUUCUGACGGACACUACACACAUUCCAAAAUGUAAGUCUUAAACAUUAUUUGCUACUUUAAAAGAUAUAAAAUGGUUCGAAUUAAUUGAUCUAUACAAGCUUCGAAAAUAGUAUAAACUACAAAAGUCAAAGUAAGUUGAAUUAAAAUACAAUAAGCGUAUUGGGUUAGAUACUUACAUAUCAUAUGAAGACAUUUAUCUUGUCGUGUUUUAUAUAUGAUUUUGAAUAUCGGAAUUAUACUUUUUAAUAAAAAUAAAUCCGCACCGUAGACUUAAUAUUUCUUUAUUUGUAUUUGAGAAUUUAAACUCACUUGAAGGGAAAUAAAUGUCAACAUGCUAUGUUUUGGUCACAACAGUAUUAUUAUAUUAAAAUGUAUUUUAUUUUGGUAUAUCGCUGAACUAUUAUGUAGUGCCUUUUCUGCCAUUUUAUAUUACUUUUCGUAUUUGUUGCAAGGAUUGGUAAAAUUUAGCAUUGAAUAUAAUAACUUACUUUAUAUUAUUAUUCUGAACGUUUUACAUUGGAAAGUCUUGAUAUUGAAAACAUGGUUUUACUUCUCAUUCGUUCUGUGUAACGAGUUUCGGUGUAUGCUUCUUCUCGAAAAUAUACGAUUAAGUAUUGCAGUUUAUGUAGUUUGACCCCCCCCCUUUUUUUUACCUUUUGAAAAAGCCUUUGAAUUUGCAUUGGAAUCCAAUGACAAAUCAAUGUGUACAGCCUUUAUAUCUCAGUAGCAUGGGUUCUAAUCCCGGCGAGGGAAGAACAAAAAAUUUGCGAAAGCAAAUUUACAGAUCUAACAUUGUUGGGUUGAUGUUUAGACGAGUUGUAUGUACAUAAUGUACACAGCCAUGUAUCACCAUGAUUGCUGGUGAUCCGAUGGCUAAAUCUGUUGUAGAGUUGUCACUGAUUCAGACGUACAUAUAUAUACUAGUAUAUGAUUAGUCUAAACAUCACCCAAACAAUGUUUUAUCUGUAAAUUUGCUUUCGCAGAUUCGAACUCAUGCUACUGCUACUGAGAUAUCGACGCGCUAGACCACUCGACCACAUAGGCUCUCUAUAUAUAUUGGAUGUAACUAAUAAUCACCAGCUUUAUAUUGAACAAUUUAUUAUAAAGGAAACGAAAAUAUCGAAGUGAUUAUUAAGAAGUAAAUUCACUUCGCCACAAAACGGAUAUUCAUUCAAAGUUUAGAUUAAAGUUAAGCUUGCAUAUAUGUAGAAAAAUCAUAUUUGUACAUGUUGUAUAGAAGUUUCUGAAAAAAUAUGGAGGAAAGCAGUUUCUUCGCCAACUGACAUGUCUGUUGUUUUAUGUUGUUUUUGCUCGUGUCGAUCGUACACUUAACAGAUGACAUCAUAUAGACAAGUCAAUCCUGUACAUCAUUAAUUCUACUGAUUGAUGUGGGGUUUCGUGCUAUGCCACAAGGUCAACAUAACCUUCAACAAUAGACCGGUUUCGAUUAAGUAUGCCAAACUCCGAAAUGUCCUAUAAUACAUGUAGCAAUCGCAUUGCAAGUUAUUAAACGUACACAAAUGUAUUUAAAAAAAAUCGGAUUUCCCAAUUUACAAAAUUAUUGGCUACUUCUUUAAAACGCUAUAGUUGAUAUUCAUCAUGUCAUUUUGGCUUUUUUAUGCCCCACUUUCGAAUUGUGCGUCCGUUAUUUCGUUCGUCUAGUCGUCUACCCGUCUUUCCCUUUUCAGGUUUAAGUCUUUGGUCAAAGCAGUUUUUGAUGAAGUUAGAAGUCCAACCAACUUGAAACGUAGUAGACAUAUUCCCUACGAUAUAAUAUUUCUAAUUUUAAUGGCAAAAAAGAGUUUUUGCCCAAAGUCACGGUGCACUGAACAUAGAAAAUUAUAGUGCGAGGUGGCUUCCGUGUACUAUUGGACACAUUAUUGUUUUAAGAUUUAUAAGUGAAUUGUAUUUUUUUUCUUUUUCAGAACAACCAUGUCUAAUGGAGAUGAAGUAAGUCAAUAUUACUCAAUGCAUGCUCUGUAUUAUUACUCAAUUGGAAUAGUAAUAGUGCAUAGAUAUCAAGUAUAAAUGAAACAAAAAAAUGAAAAUAAUAGAUUGGUCUUUGUAUUACAACGACGUUCUUCUUAUAUAAACUUUUUAAGACUGUAAAUCAAACCAGAGUAACUAGUGUAAAACGUUUUCGUGAAUGAGUUAUUUAGUCGCAUGCUAGAGAAAUGGCAACAUAAAAUACAACUGAAUGCUCGAAAUCCUUUUCAAAGUAGAUAAAAGUAAUAGAUAUAUAUAUCUACCUCAAUAUUCUAUUCAAUAACAGGACAAGAAAACUCGAGCAGAAAGAGCGACGUCCAACGUUUUUGCGAAACUGCCGCAGAAACUUAUGCAAGAGAUGAAGGAGGUAAUGAGUUUCACGAUGUAGCAACUGUAGUCGUUAGACUUAGCUAAUUAGAUGUAUGGUUUCUUUAUUUUCAGGCCACACAGAAAGCUAGAGCAGCUACCUCCAGCGUUUUAACCAAGUUUAAUCAGAAACAAAUUCAAGAAAUGAAAGAGGUGUGGAACGCAUGCCUAUGAGCAUGCGCACUGCCGAAAACCCCUUGAUGUUUUCAAUAAACAAAAAAGUUUGGCAUGGGUGCGCAGCGUUCAAAACAAACUUUACCAAACACUAACGAUUUUCACCUCGUUUCCAGGGCAUGUUAUGGUUUUUAUUUCAGUUUCCGUCUAACGAUCUUACAAAUUCUCCCUUUGCUGACCCCUAAUAGUUGAAGUGGAUUUGAGUGAAAGAAACCCAACAUUAAUUAAACACCCUUUUUGUAACAUUUGACAGAUGCACGAGGACGAAAUAAAAUAACAGAAAUAAACACUGAAAAAA